rnacentral:lncRNA from 1 species
AUGAAGAAAUCACCAUUCCUUAAUGGUGAUGUGAAUGCUUCUCCCCCAUCACUGUCUUUUGAGAGUCUUCAGUGUGGAACAGAUCCUCAUCAGCUGGGUGGAGGCCUGCACACACUGUGCAGAAAUGGGGUCCAGAGUGGCAGGUGGGACUGUAUUUACCACGCGGACUUGCUGUUUUCAUCAAGGGUCACUUUGAUGCUUGGCGCUGUGCAGGGUUCCCAAGUCAGCAUGAUGAGUGACUAAAGCUGUCUGAAGGCAUACAGACCAAGGGAGAAGCCCAUCUACAGUAGAGGAGGAGGAAGCAACAUGUAGAGCAAAGCUGAGUCUCAAGAAGGAAAGAAUUACGAUGAUAUAGUUUGAGUUUCUGGGUCCAACCCGCCUGAGACACAUUCCCCCUUGUUCUUCCCAGCUAUGUAAAUCAGCCAAGUGCCCUUCUUCCUUCACUGAUCUUGAGUUGGCAAAUCUCAUUAAAUUUAUGGCAAGUAGGUG